rnacentral:rRNA from 1 species
UGGGGAAUAUUGCGCAAUGGGGGCAACCCUGACGCAGCAACGCCGCGUGAUUGAAGAAGGCCUUCGGGUUGUAAAGAUCUUUAAUCGGGGACGAAUUUUGACGGUACCCGAAGAAUAAGCUCCGGCUAACUACGUGCCAGCAGCCGCGGUAAUACGUAGGGAGCAAGCGUUAUCCGGAUUUACUGGGUGUAAAGGGCGUGUAGGCGGGCAUGCAAGCCAGAAGUGAAAUCUGGGGGCUUAACCCCCAAACUGCUUUUGGAACUGCGUGUCUUGAGUGAUGGAGAGGCAGGCGGAAUUCCCAGUGUAGCGGUGAAAUGCGUAGAUAUUGGGAGGAACACCAGUGGCGAAGGCGGCCUGCUGGACAUUAACUGACGCUGAGGCGCGAAAGCGUGGGGAGCAAACAGG